GAUGAACGCUAGCUACAGGCUUAACACAUGCAAGUCGCGGGGCAGCAUGGGGGUUGCUUGCAAUCCCCGAUGGCGACCGGCGCACGGGUGAGUAACGCGUAUCCAACCUGCCCUUCACCACGGGAUAACCCGGCGAAAGUCGGACUAAUACCGUAUGUUGUCCAUUGACGGCAUCCGAUUUGGACGAAAGGCUUGGCGGUGAGGGAUGGGGAUGCGUCCGAUUAGCCAGACGGCGGGGUAACGGCCCACCGUGGCUACGAUCGGUAGGGGUUCUGAGAGGAAGGUCCCCCACACUGGAACUGAGACACGGUCCAGACUCCUACGGGAGGCAGCAGUGAGGAAUAUUGGUCAAUGGGCGUAAGCCUGAACCAGCCAAGUAGCGUGCAGGAGGACGGCCCUAUGGGUUGUAAACUGCUUUUAUGCGGGGAUAAAGUGGCCCACGUGUGGGCUUUUGCAGGUACCGCAUGAAUAAGGACCGGCUAAUUCCUUG
rnacentral:rRNA from 1 species